rnacentral:rRNA from 1 species
ACGGGUGAGUAACGCGUGGGUAACCUACCUGUACAGGGGGACAACAGUUGGAAACGACUGCUAAUACCGCAUAAGCGCACAGCUUCGCAUGAAGCAGUGUGAAAAGUUUUUUCGGUACAAGAUGGACCCGCGUCUGAUUAGCUGGUUGGUGAGGUAACGGCCCACCAAGGCGACGAUCAGUAGCCGACCUGAGAGGGUGACCGGCCACAUUGGGACUGAGACACGGCCCAAACUCCUACGGGAGGCAGCAGUGGGGAAUAUUGCACAAUGGGCGAAAGCCUGAUGCAGCCGACGCCGCGUGAGCGAAGAAGUAUUUCGGUAUGUAAAGCUCUAUCAGCAGGGAAGAUAAUGACGGUACCUGACUAAGAAGCACCGGCUAAAUACGUGCCAGCCGCGGC